UCAAUCAAUAGUGUUUUUCAAGGAAGGAUCACAACAGAAGCCCUUGCUAACUCUGUGUCUGGCAGAAGUUUUACAAAAACAUACAGAACUUAUUACAUAAGAGAUGGACAAUCAGUUCUGCCUUUUGUCUUCAAUGACAUCAUGGGCUUAGAAUCCGGAGAUUCACAGGGAGCUCAUCCAGAAGACAUCGCCAAAUCCCUCGAGGGCCUCCUUAAGGAAGGACACAAUUUCAAUCCAGCCGUUCCUGCUAACAAAGAGGACUACAGAAGUAAUACAAGCCCUGAGGAUCAGACAUACUGCCUGGUCUACGUCAUAGCAGCUGACAAGGUAUCAAUGAUGAAUAAAGAUGUCUUUGAAAAGAUUAAAGAUAUUAGACAGAAGGCCAGCA